rnacentral:tRNA from 1 species
AGUUAAUUAGUUUAAAAAAAAUACUUGGUUUCGACCCAGGAGCUUGCAGUUAAAGUCUGCAAUUACCUA